CAGGCACUAUUCCGGCACUUGCAGUGGCUGCUGCAGUGGUGGUAGCAGUGUUGCACGUGUGUGGGUAACCAUGGUCCCAGGAUACCUCCUCCUCCUUCUCUUCCUCAUGGCCCUGCAGGCCUCUGGCACGCAGGCUGCUCCGUGGCAAAGAUUGAGAGCAGAUGUGCACCCAGAGAGGGCUUUACCAGCCCUUCCACAGCCUUCUAAAUUUGAUCCAAGCUGGCAUCCCAGAAGUAGGUAGUCAAUCUUUACUGACUUUACAGACCCACAUCUCCACCCCCUGUCAUUACCCAGCCACUUCAUGACACGUCACUAAGGAUGAAGGAGAUCACAACAUACAUUGGGAACAUUUCUCCCUUGUGCUUGAUUACAGUUGUGCUUGUUGGUGAUGAGUACAAAGUUCUGUGGCCUAAUCCUCCCCGCGAGCCUCAGGGUUAUUCUGAAGGUAAGCUGCUUGAAGAAAUGAGCAUUUCAGUGUUCCUUUUGUGUGAAAUGUAACUUCACCUUUCCUUGGCCAAUGUACAGACAUGGAAAAGAGCAGAUUAAGAACAGGUUAAGCUUGGUGACACUUGCCAAGUGCUUUGUGAAAAUGUCCUUGCUAGCCACUGCAGUACUUUGCUGCUUCCAACGCCUGCUAAAAAAACAGCUGGCAUACUGAAGUUGCAUUUGAACCUGAUGUGGGCUCCAUGAAACUCCUGGCAUCCCACGUGAUUAGUUUUGUACCAGUACAUUGCUAGUGCAGGUAACUCUUUGGAAGAUGCUCUUCCAAGCACUGUAGAACAAUCUUGUGCUUGAACUGCAUUCACUGUUAUUUUGAUUAGAAGAAUUCUACUGACAUAGUUCACUGGAAAUUCUCUGUCCUGUAUUUGUUUAAAGAUGUGGCAGUAGAUGAUAGCUAUCCAGCUUUCCAGCUGCGUUCCAGUACUGAACAUCCAGGCGAUCACAUGGAUAUGUGGUUUCUUACUUUCUUUGAGAGCUUUCAGGCCAAAUGCAAGACAGGUGUCUCUGCAGGUUUGAAAACUGCAUCUUGCAUGUGUGUGCCCUGUCACUGCAUGAUCCCUGAUAUGCUCUGCUAUUCAGUUAUGCUGAUGUCAAUCACAGUAUGUGAUGGGAACUUCUUAUGUUUUCAUAUUUGGUUACAGAUAUGCCCUCAAAGAAGGCUCUUCCACCUCUUCCGCAGCCUUCGCUGGAUCCAAGCUGGCAUCCAAGAGAUACCCAGAGAGCACAUUAUCUAGCAUCAGCUAGAAGAGGAAAAAAGUCCCAAAAGACAUCUGAAGUCUUAGAGAAAACUGUGAAGAAACUGGUGCAGGUAGAUUUUGGUGAGUCCCAAAUCUUUUUUUUCUUAAACUUUAUUGAUGUAUUUGUAGAAGACUUGC